UGGGGAAUUUUGCACAAUGGGGGAAACCCUGAUGCAGCGACGCCGCGUGAUUUAGAAGGCCUUCGGGUUGUAAAAAUCUUUUCUAUGGGAAGAAAAUGACAGUACCAUAGGAAUAAGGACCGGCUAAUCACGUGCCAGCAGCCGCGGUAAUACGUAAGGUCCGAGCGUUGUCCGGAAUCAUUGGGCGUAAAGGGUACGUAGGCGGGUAAGCAAGUUAGAAGUGAAAUCCUAUAGCUCAAAUAUAGUAAGCUUUUAAAACUGCUCAUCUUGAGGUGUGGAAGGGAAGGUAGAAUUCCUAGUGUAGCGGUGAAGUGCGCAGAUAUUAGGAGGAAUACCAGUGGCGAAGACGACUUUCUGGCCAUAACCUGACGAUGAGGUACGAAAGCGUGGGUAGCAAACAGG
rnacentral:rRNA from 1 species